UACGUAGGGUGCGAGCGUUAAUCGGAAUUACUGGGCGUAAAGCGUGCGCAGGCGGCUCUUCAAGUCAGAUGUGAAAGCCCCGGGCUUAACCUGGGAAUGGCGUUUGAAACUGGAGGGCCGGAGUGUGGCAGAGGGAGGUGGAAUUCCACGUGUAGCAGUGAAAUGCGUAGAGAUGUGGAGGAACACCGAUGGCGAAGGCAGCCUCCUGGGCCAACACUGACGCUCAUGCACGAAUGCGUGGGGAGGAAACAGG
rnacentral:rRNA from 1 species